CAUUGGAUAGCUCAGUUGGUUAGAGCUUGCUACUUCCGGACAAAAUGGCUACACAUGGUGGAGCGUAAAAAUGUAGAUUAAAGCGCAGGUUCGAGUCCUGCUCCGAUGG
rnacentral:tRNA from 1 species